UUAGUGGCGUGUCAUUGUAGUGGCGUGUCAUAAUUGUUUCUAAAACAUCGCGUGUAGUUACAAACAUUUAGUGGUGUGUCUAUAAUGACAUCUAGAUGGUUGCGCAUCUGGAUGCCUGACUUAAUGUGUCUAGACGGCAUGCCUGGCGCACGUAUUCUAUAGGGACGCACGUUCGGACGGCUUGUGAUGCCCAUCCAAACGGGGUCUGUUUUAAAGUGGGCAGAACACCCAUUUCUCUUGGCAGCUCAGUUUUUCUUCCUCAUUUCUAUACGGUUUUUCACCUAAGAACUGUGAUAUCUUGAAAUCCAACCGUCUAAUCUUAGAUCCGACUUCAAUAACGUAAUUCUCGAAGCCCGAUCUACGUUUUGACUAAAUGUUUUGAGAUUUUGUGUGGUUUGGAGUUGCUAGGAGUUUUCUGAGCAUUUAGUCUUGGCUUGGCGAAUUUUUACAGCAUUUUAUGAUUGAGCUCAGAGUCAUUUGGAAAUGGGAGUUCAAGCAAUCUAAGAUACUACCACAACUGUGUAGAUGAUAUUCCUAUGAUUGUAAGUACUCCUGAGGCGGAUGAUGAUCCGGUAGCUUUCUAUUUGGGUUACUACAAUUGAAGCCCAUAGCGACAAUCGUAGUGGGAUUGAACUAUAGUGUCCUUAUUUUGAGUACUUUUGUUUAUGGCUUGUGACGUAUGUGUCACCUAUUCUUUUGUAUAAGCCAUUCUUUUGUAAUAGUUAUAUGUUGUUAAGUCUUAAACAGAUUGACUUGUGUUAUGUCUCACUUUUGUAUAGACAACAGGUUUCUUUAUAGUUAUGCAUUUCCGCUAUGUUUGAUGGUA